rnacentral:tmRNA from 1 species
GGGGGCGAAAGGUUUCGACUUUGAUAGGCUUGGUAAGAGCAGCAUGUUGAGGUUGUCAGGAGGCCUCAUUAAAAACCUGGCACAAAUUAAACGCCAACUACAAUGCAGUAGCUGAAGCGGAAGCGAUCCUUACUUCUAGCGAGGCGGUAGCUGUUGCCUAAUUAGGCAACCCGUUUACAAGUCCUGCCUGCGGGGCUUGCUAAACGUCAUUAGCAGGCUGGCUUUUUCACUUUAUGUCUUUUAGGAAAAGGCGAGGAGCAUAGAAAAGGCUUUGGUUUACAUAAUCCCGCUUAUUGGAGAAUGCAGGCCGAGACGGAAAAAGUAAGCUAAGCAUGUAGAUACUCUUAUUGGGAUAUUGAAGGACGCGGAUUCGAAUUCCGCCGCCUCCACCA